AGGCGGCCGCGAAUUCACUAGUGAUUAGAGUUUGAUCAUGGCUCAGGCGCUAGCGGCAGGCCUAAUACAUGCACGCCGAAAGGGCAGCAAUGUCCAUGCGACGGGUGCCUAACACGUAUGCAACUCCCAUAACUGGGGGAUAACCUUCCGAAAGGGAGGAUAAUACCGCAUAAGACAGCGAUCCCGCAUGGGGGUGCUGUUAAGGCUUCGGCGGUUGUGGAUGGGCAUGCGGACGAUUAGCUAGUUGGCGGGGUAACGGCCCACCAAGGCGACGAUCGUUAGGGGAACUGAGAGGUUGGUCCCCCACACUGGCACUGAGAUACGGGCCAGACUCCUACGGGAGGCAGCAGUAGGGAAUAUUGGUCAAUGGGCGGAAGCCUGAACCAGCCAUGCCGGUGCAGGAAGAAGGCUCUGGGUUGCAAACUGCGUUUGAAGGGAACAAGAAGGCCAUGCUGCAGGAGUGAGU
rnacentral:rRNA from 1 species